GCGCCAGCGAGGGAGUCUGGGCUGGAGCGCUGCUUUCACACCGACUCAGAGCCGCCUUCAAGAAGCCAAGAGCCUCACCCAGAACCCAGUGGGGACAACCUCCACCCCACCCCCAGGUUCCACGUGGUCCUGCAUUCCCCAGAGCCAAAGCCAGAAAGGGAGGGAGUGGGAGAUGCAGGAAGAAAUCCGAGCGUCUCCACAACGCUCCUGACGCUGCCCCAGAAUCAGAGGACACAACCAGGCAAUGUCACCCAUCCAAAGCCAGGAUGCAGGAGGAAAUGAGGGGAUGGAAGAGAAUAAUGCGGAGGAGGAGGGUGGCUGUCAUGUGGCAGAGAAAAGUGUGUGCGAGGGCGCAGUGGGGAGUGAACUGGAGGAGACAGGCCUAGAGAGGGUGGAACCCCAGGACAGAGUGGGAGCCAGCCUGAGGGUCUUGCUGAGCCCCAGAUGUGCUUUGGAAGCACUGUUAUUCUCCUUGCCUCUGGGCCCCAGAGCUCAGGAGAGGGCCAGGCACAUGGAAAGCUCAGGGAACAGUUACUGAACUGAAUAAAUAACUCAGACAACAACAUACACUAAGAUGCAGCCAUGUCCCUCGAAAGCACGUAGAGGAAAGAGUCUCUGGACUGCUGCUCUGAUACACGAGGCCUGGGAAGGCAGUCACCGGGGGGUGCUCUGGAGAGUGGGGUUGUAGCCCUUGGCGCCGCGGCAAAUGCUAGGUUUGAGACUGAGCCCACAGACACGGAGCAUGGCCAGCAGAGGCCAGUGGCUCACAGGACCAUGAGUCGUCUAACUACAGCCUGCAAAAAAUGCAAAACAGACAAAUGCAUCCUCAGGGGACAGCGGAAGAAAGCUAACAGACCAGCCUCCGGCUCCCCACCCACGGAGGUGGUGGAGGUGAGAAGCAUGAUGUGUUUGUCAAAGGGACCCAGGGCUGACCCCCCACGGCACUCUCUCCCACCCUGGGCUGCCUCUGGUGCUUAGCUUCUAGGACCAGCUCUGCCAGCCAGAGGCUAUGUGACCUGGGCCUCAGUUACCCCAUCCAUGGCACAGGGGGCUUGGCCCGGACAAUUUCAAAG